rnacentral:rRNA from 1 species
CGAGCGAUGAAGUUUCCUUCGGGAACGGAUUAGCGGCGGACGGGUGAGUAACACGUGGGUAACCUGCCUCAUAGAGGGGAAUAGCCUCCCGAAAGGGAGAUUAAUACCGCAUAACAUUGCAGUUUCGCAUGAAACAGCAAUUAAAGGAGCAAUCCGCUAUGAGAUGGACCCGCGGCGCAUUAGCUAGUUGGUAAGGUAAUGGCUUACCAAGGCGACGAUGCGUAGCCGACCUGAGAGGGUGAUCGGCCACAUUGGGACUGAGACACGGCCCAGACUCCUACGGGAGGCAGCAGUGGGGAAUAUUGCACAAUGGGGGAAACCCUGAUGCAGCAACGCCGCGUGAGUGAUGACGGUCUUCGGAUUGUAAAGCUCUGUCUUUGGGGACGAUAAUGACGGUACCCAAGGAGGAAGCCACGGCUAACUACGUGCCAGCAGCCGCGGUAAUACGUAGGUGGCAAGCGUUGUCCGGAUUUACUGGGCGUAAAGGGAGCGUAGGCGGAUUUUUAAGUGGGAUGUGAAAUACCCGGGCUCAACCUGGGUGCUGCAUUCCAAACUGGGAAUCUAGAGUGCAGGAGGGGAGAGUGGAAUUCCUAGUGUAGCGGUGAAAUGCGUAGAGAUUAGGAAGAACACCAGUGGCGAAGGCGACUCUCUGGACUGUAACUGACGCUGAGGCUCGAAAGCGUGGGGAGCAAACAGGAUUAGAUACCCUGAUAGUCCACGCCGUAAACGAUGAAUACUAGGUGUAGGGGUUUCGAU